rnacentral:lncRNA from 1 species
GCUGCAGCCACAUAGCUGACCCAGGAGCCCUCAGGGGCCAAAGACCUACUCACUUCAUCCUGCCAACGUCGCAAUUGUCAGGUUCUCAUUCUGUCACCCAGACUGGAGUGCAGUGGUGCAAUCUCGUCUCACUGCAGCUUCAACCUCCCAAUCUCAGCUGAUCCUCCUUCUGCAGUCCCCCAAGCUGGGACUACAGGUGCACAUCACCAUGCCUGGGAUCAAAAUCCAAAUUGACUGUAUGAUCAUCACUGGCAUCUUCCAAAGUUGCUUUCAUCAGAAACUAUGUCCCAGCAUUCCAGCCCCACCACUGUCCCUACCAACCCUUUGAAGCUUCUACUUCUCAAUUUUUCCUCCAUCUGGUCUAUCACCCAUUCUUUUGCCAUUAUUUUCUGCCUUCAUACCUUGUAUUAUUGCAAAAUUAAUUUCACUGGCCUUUUUGCUAUUGUUGAUAUCAGAAUCCAUUUGAUGCAGUACUCACCAAGCAUUUUGAGCCCCCUAAACCUUCUGAAGACCCCUUACCAAUCUGUUUCUGUAUUGGCUUCUAUCAUUCCAAAUUUUUUGCUUCUGUUGGUACUGACAAUGAAUUAUAUACCCCCUUAUGCACUAUAUUCCCACUGCCUUGCAUGUAGAAAGUGUUUAAUAUGAGUUAAUUAAAUAAGUUA